rnacentral:rRNA from 1 species
AUUGAACGCUGGCGGCAUGCUUUACACAUGCAAGUCGAACGAGUGGCGGACGGGUGAGUAAUGUAUCGGAAUCUGCCCCAUCGAGGGGGAUAACUACUGGAAACUGUAGCUAAUACCGCAUACUAUCGGAUGUGCCCAUAUGGGAUUAGCUAGUUGGUGGGGUAACGGCUCACCUAGGCGACGAUCCCUAGCUGGUCUGAGAGGAUGACCAGCCACACGGGGACUGAGACACGGCCCAGACUCCUACGGGAGGCAGCAGUGGGGAAUAUUGCACAAUGGGCGAAAGCCUGAUGCAGCCAUGCCGCGUGUAUGAAGAAGGCCUGCGGGUUGUAAAGUACUUUCGGCAGGGAGGCGGUACCCGCAGAAGAAGCACCGGCUAACUACGUGCCAGCAGCCGCGGUAAUUC